rnacentral:lncRNA from 1 species
UACACAGUGCAGCUGGGACUUAUGGAGCAAAAACAGCCAUUGCCCCUGCACAAGCUCUGUUCCUCAUCAGAUGGAGCCAGAAACAGAUGCUCAGGAAGAAAAACAACACUGGAAAAACACAGUGAGACGAUCCACUCAAAGCCCACGAGAGGAUAACUUCGAAGGCCCUUCCUCUUCUUUUAAGAAGCUAUGUCCUGCCAAACCUUCUCCCAGCUUUCUUGAGCUUCCAUCUUCCCAACGGAGGCCCAGUCCAGGUCUACUCUGUGCCCAGGCUUCAAGGAAAGGACAGAAAAAAUUCACCCCUGAUCAUCAGCCACAGGAAUGCUACGGCCUACUGGAGUGCAUGCACAACAACAUCCAGAUCCAAACCCAGAUCGCUCUGACACAGCUGAGCAUCCUGGAAGGCUUGCAGGAAUCCAUGAACUUGCUUCUGGCUAGCGAUGAGGAGAAGAGGAAGGAGCAGAGAGACCAGGAGGGCCUGCAAAGCUCAGUCUCCUCCCCCACCUAACAUAGCCAUAGGUUUGGUGACUAGCUUUGAUUCCCAUAGUCUCAUCUCUGUGGCCUCGUCUCCUUUGCGUUCACUCUGGCGCUGGCUAUCAAGUGUAUAGCUACAGGAUUGGGGUUUGUGUUACCAUGACAACUGAUAGGGCUCUGCUAGAGGUGCUGCUUGGAAG